GACGAACGCUGGCGGCGUGCUUAACACAUGCAAGUCGAACGGAAAGGCCCUGCUUUUGUGGGGUGCUCGAGUGGCGAACGGGUGAGUAACACGUGAGUAACCUGCCCUUGACUUUGGGAUAACUUCAGGAAACUGGGGCUAAUACCGGAUAGGAGCUCCUGCUGCAUGGUGGGGGUUGGAAAGUUUCGGCGGUUGGGGAUGGACUCGCGGCUUAUCAGCUUGUUGGUGGGGUAGUGGCUUACCAAGGCUUUGACGGGUAGCCGGCCUGAGAGGGUGACCGGCCACAUUGGGACUGAGAUACGGCCCAGACGCCUACGGGAGGCAGCAGUGGGGAAUAUUGCACAAUGGGCGGAAGCCGGAUGCAGCAACGCCGCGUGCGGGAUGACGGCCUUCGGGUUGUAAACCGCUUUCGCCUGUGACGACGCGUGAGUGACGGUAAUGGGUAAAGAAGCACCGGCUAACUACGU
rnacentral:rRNA from 1 species